rnacentral:rRNA from 1 species
UGGGGAAUAUUGGACAAUGGGCGAAAGCCUGAUCCAGCCAUGCCGCGUGUAUGAAGAAGGCCUUCGGGUUGUAAAGUACUUUCAGCGGGGAGGAAGGGAGUAAAGUUAAUACCUUUGCUCAUUGACGUUACCCGCAGAAGAAGCACCGGCUAACUCCGUGCCAGCAGCCGCGGUAAUACGGAGGGUGCAAGCGUUAAUCGGAAUUACUGGGCGUAAAGCGCACGCAGGCGGUUUGUUAAGUCAGAUGUGAAAUCCCCGGGCUCAACCUGGGAACUGCAUCUGAUACUGGAUAACUAGAGUAGGUGAGAGGGGAGUAGAAUUCCAGGUGUAGCGGUGAAAUGCGUAGAGAUCUGGAGGAAUACCGAUGGCGAAGGCAGCUCCCUGGCAUCAUACUGACACUGAGGUGCGAAAGCGUGGGUAGCAAACAGGAUUAGAUACCCUGGUAGUCCACGCCGUAAACGAUGUCUACCAGUCGUUGGGUCUUUUAAAGACUUAGUGACGCAGUUAACGCAAUAAGUAGACCGCCUGGGGAGUACGGCCGCAAGGUUA